UACGUAGGGGGCGAGCGUUGUCCGGAUUUAUUGGGCGUAAAGAGCGUGUAGGCGGCCAGGUAGGUCUGCUGUGAAAACUCGAGGCUCAACCUCGAGACGUCGGCGGAAACCAUCUGGCUAGAGUCCGGAAGAGGAGAGUGGAAUUCCUGGUGUAGCGGUGAAAUGCGCAGAUAUCAGGAAGAACACCCGUGGCGAAGGCGGCUCUCUGGACAGAGUCUGACGCUGAUGCGCGAAAGCUAGGGGAGCAAACAGG
rnacentral:rRNA from 1 species